UUCAGUCACUGAUGUACUUUUAUGCCCUGUACUUUGCGUCUAAGAUCAUGUUUGCCGGUGGUCGUUAUAUAACAGCUUGGAAAACUAACCCCUGAGUGAAGGAGGCAUGCUCCUUGAGCUUAUGCAUUUGUUCAAUUGCUGUGCAUGAAUAUGCUAUAAAAGGACAUUUUGCGCAUCAUUUUUCCGAGACCGCUGACCCCAAGACUAUAAAAAUAUACCUAUUUGCCGAACUCCAUGUCCUUGCGGGGCGUUUACAAUUUUAUUCCUCUUAUACGUACCUUGCGCCUAGGUUUGUUUGAUGCGAUGUUCUGAAAUUUUGUGCGGGGGUCCCUGGGGGCACAAAUGCGCGACGCGGAUUGGGACCAGCUCUUCUUGCAAUUUAUUAGGAAAAGGGGGUAAGCUACUUUGGCUGCCAGCCAGCUGAUUUAGCUGUGAAGCGCCCAGUGCUAAGUGUCGACAACGGUGCUAUGCAGCCUUCGCGAUGUGGAAACCGCGUUCGCGCGCUACGUAAGAACUCAACCCCAGGAGCCGGAAGACGGCAUGUCGGUAUCGCAGCACGCCGAAGUACCGCAGAAUCUAAUUGAAGAGUUAGCCACAUUUGCGGCGGAAAACGACGCGGGCGUGUACACAGACACCUUCGAGCGCCUCGCGACAUGGGUGGACAAUUCGCUGGACAUGUACAGGGUGAGUGAUGCAGUGCCCGCGCAGAGCGCGGGAACACGGAGAACACGGGAAGCGAUAGUCCUGCAACGGCUCCGGAUGCCAUACGCUCAAACCCUAAAUCUUUGAAGCAUCCAGUAUAUUCCCGGGGAACGCGAUUGCAGCUGAGGGUUUCCGACGUGCAUGUAUGUAUGUAUGUGUGCAUGGUUCCGCCACUGCGUAUUACUAAUCACGUGUUGUGGGUGUGUCGGUCGAACGGCGACAGGCCGCUGGGAAGCUUUGCACUCGUGUCACAGCACAGCAGCCCUCACUGUUUGGGCCCGUUAUGCCAGGAGUGGAUGGAUAGAUCAGGACGGCGUGCUGCUGCACACCUUUUAAUACAACCACCUCUUGGUUGGUUUGGGCAACGGUAACAACGGCGGCGACGGCGGUUACAGAGCGGCAUGCAAAACAGGGUUUUCCGGGUAUUCCCCCUUCCCCCCCGCCCCAGAGCCCUCCACCCUCGCGCUCCAGAGCCGCCCUGGCCCCGGGCGGGGGCCCCGGUCUCGCCCCCAGGGGUCCAUAGGGCCCUCUACCUGACUCCCCGCCCCCCCCCUCCCCACGGCAUUCCCUCGAUGAGCCCCCACCACAGCCCCACCCGGGA
rnacentral:lncRNA from 1 species